rnacentral:rRNA from 1 species
CCUUUUGGAGUAUCCAUGGCUGAAUACAUAGGCCAUGUGAAGCGAACGCGGUGAACUGAAACAUCUAAGUAACCGCAGGAAAAGAAAUCAACCGAGAUUCCCAAAGUAGUGGCGAGCGAAAUGGGAUGAGCCUUGCACUCUUUAUUUGUAUUGUUAGCCGAACGCUCUGGAAAGUGCGGCCAUAGCAGGUGAUAGCCCUGUAGGCGAAAACAGUAUGAAAGAACUAGGUGUGCGACAAGUAGGGCGGGACACGUGAAAUCCUGUCUGAAGAUGGGGGGACCAUCCUCCAAGGCUAAAUACUCGUGAUCGACCGAUAGUGAACCAGUACCGUGAGGGAAAGGCGAAAAGAACCCCGGGAGGGGAGUGAAAUAGAUCCUGAAACCGCAUGCAUACAAACAGUCGGAGCCUCGUAAGGGGUGACGGCGUACCUUUUGUAUAAUGGGUCAGCGACUUACGUUCAGUAGCAAGCUUAACCGUAUAGGGCAGGCGUAGCGAAAGCGAGUCCGAAUAGGGCGUUCAGUUGCUGGGCGUAGACCCGAAACCAGGUGAUCUAUCCAUGGCCAGGAUGAAGGUGCGGUAACACGUACUGGAGGUCCGAACCCACUAACGUUGAAAAGUUAGGGGAUGAGCUGUGGAUAGGGGUGAAAGGCUAAACAAACCUGGAAAUAGCUGGUUCUCUCCGAAAACUAUUUAGGUAGUGCCUCGUGUCUCACCUUCGGGGGUAGAGCACUGUCAUGGUUGGGGGGUCUAUUGCAGAUUACCCCGCCAUAGCAAACUCCGAAUACCGAAGAGUGCAAUCACGGGAGACAGACAUCGGGUGCUAACGUCCGGUGUCAAGAGGGAAACAACCCAGACCGCCAGCUAAGGUCCCCAAAUAUAGCUAAGUGGGAAACGAAGUGGGAAGGCUAAAACAGUCAGGAGGUUGGCUUAGAAGCAGCCACCCUUUAAAGAAAGCGUAAUAGCUCACUGAUCGAGUCGUCCUGCGCGGAAGAUGUAACGGGGCUAAGCUAUAUACCGAAGCUGCGGAUGCGAGCUUGCUCGCAUGGUAGGAGAGCGUUCCGUAAGCCUGCGAAGGUGCCUUGUAAAGGGUGCUGGAGGUAUCGGAAGUGCGAAUGCUGACAUGAGUAGCGAUAAAGGGGGUGAAAGGCCCCCUCGCCGUAAGCCCAAGGUUUCCUACGCAACGUUCAUCGGCGUAGGGUGAGUCGGCCCCUAAGGCGAGGCAGAAAUGCGUAGCUGAUGGGAAGCAGGUCAAUAUUCCUGCACCAUUGUUAGAUGCGAUGGGGGGACGGAUCGCGGAAGGUUGUCCGGGUGUUGGAAGUCCCGGUCGCUGCAUUGGAGAAGGCGCUUAGGCAAAUCCGGGCGCGUAAUUCAAGGGUGUGGCGCGAGCUCCUUAGGGAGCGAAGCAAUUGGAAGUGGUUCCAAGAAAAGCCUCUAAGCUUCAGUCUAACGAUGACCGUACCGCAAACCGACACAGGUGGGCGAGAUGAGUAUUCUAAGGCGCUUGAGAGAACUCGGGAGAAGGAACUCGGCAAAUUGGUACCGUAACUUCGGGAUAAGGUACGCCCUUGUAGCUUGACCAGCCUGCGCUGGAAGGGUGAAGGGGUUGCAAUAAACUGGUGGCUGCGACUGUUUAAUAAAAACACAGCACUCUGCAAACACGAAAGUGGACGUAUAGGGUGUGACGCCUGCCCGGUGCCGGAAGAUUAAAUGAUGGGGUGCAAGCUCUUGAUUGAAGUCCCGGUAAACGGCGGCCGUAACUAUAACGGUCCUAAGGUAGCGAAAUUCCUUGUCGGGUAAGUUCCGACCUGCACGAAUGGCGUAACGAUGGCCACACUGUCUCCUCCCGAGACUCAGCGAAGUUGAAGUGUUUGUGAUGAUGCAAUCUACCCGCGGCUAGACGGAAAGACCCCAUGAACCUUUACUGUAGCUUUGCAUUGGACUUUGAACCGAUCUGUGUAGGAUAGGUGGGAGGCUAUGAAACCGGAACGCUAGUUUCGGUGGAGCCGUCCUUGAAAUACCACCCUGGUUUGUUUGAGGUUCUAACCUUGGCCCGUGAUCCGGGUCGGGGACAGUGCAUGGUAGGCAGUUUGACUGGGGCGGUCUCCUCCCAAAGCGUAACGGAGGAGUACGAAGGUACGCUAGGUACGGUCGGAAAUCGUGCUGAUAGUGCAAUGGCAUAAGCGUGCUUAACUGCGAGACCGACAAGUCGAGCAGGUGCGAAAGCAGGUCAUAGUGAUCCGGUGGUUCUGUAUGGAAGGGCCAUCGCUCAACGGAUAAAAGGUACUCUGGGGAUAACAGGCUGAUACCGCCCAAGAGUUCAUAUCGACGGCGGUGUUUGGCACCUCGAUGUCGGCUCAUCUCAUCCUGGGGCUGUAGCCGGUCCCAAGGGUAUGGCUGUUCGCCAUUUAAAGAGGUACGUGAGCUGGGUUUAAAACGUCGUGAGACAGUUUGGUCCCUAUCUGCCGUGGGCGUUGGAUAUUUGAAGGGGGCUGCUCCUAGUACGAGAGGACCGGAGUGGACGAACCUCUGGUGUACCGGUUGUCACGCCAGUGGCAUCGCCGGGUAGCUAUGUUCGGAAGAGAUAACCGCUGAAAGCAUCUAAGCGGGAAACUCGCCUUAAGAUGAGAUAUCCCUGGGGACUAGAUCCCCUUGAAGGGUCGUUCGAGACCAGGACGUUGAUAGGUCAGGUGUGUAAGCGCAGUAAUGCGUUCAGCUAACUGAUACUAAUUGCCCGUAAGGCUUGAUCCUAUAACA